rnacentral:rRNA from 1 species
UACGAAGGGGGCUAGCGUUGUUCGGAUUUACUGGGCGUAAAGGGCGCGUAGGCGGCUUUGUAAGUCGGGGGUGAAAUCCUGGAGCUCAACUCCAGAACUGCCUUUGAUACUGAAGAUCUUGAGUUCGGGAGAGGUGAGUGGAACUGCGAGUGUAGAGGUGAAAUUCGUAGAUAUUCGCAAGAACACCAGUGGCGAAGGCGGCUCACUGGCCCGAUACUGACGCUGAGGCACGAAAGCGUGGGGAGCAAACAGGG